AGUUUGCACGUUUUUCCUUUCCAACAAACAGAACAAAGUAACAAUCAAAAUAUUCCUGGGUUGUGAAGAUGUGGGCCAGAGUCAGGUAAGGUAGAAACAAAACCACAUCAAACGGCCUGUUCACUUCAAUGUUUCAGGACUGACCCAAGCCCCAGGCUUUAAAUGGACUGAGAGGUGGCAGAAGGGGUCCAAUAUAGCAUUGCUUACAGAUUCUCCACAUAAAGGCAAAAUCAAGGGCUUCACUUGUAACAGUGAUUUGAAAUCAUCCAGGCCGAAGCAUGCUCUUUGAGAUCCUUUUUCAAACUCAUGGCCGGCUGUGGUGCAACUGUGACACAUCCUGACCUGCGGACUCUAAGAGUUUGAGUCCCGUGUGUUACAAAUAGCUCAGUCUGGCAGCAGCCGAGAGAACAGUGCCAACACGUGUGCUCACUGGCCGGCGCGUCUGAAAUAAGCACUUUAUCAUGCCACAAACCUAAGUGCCCUUUAGUUAGUUCUAACAGGGCUGCUCUUGUGUUCCUGGGCAGCAACUGCAGGGCCAGGAAGGAACUUAAGUGGGUCUUCCGCAUUCCUCUGCAGCAGCUGUGCGGGCCUGUUUGCAGGAACUGGCUCCAUUCCAUCUCACUUUGAGACACUGGCUAUCACGGGCAGCCCGGCUCGUCCUCCACCAACGGUCUCAACACGUCCCCGGUCGGGGCGUGCAAGGAAGGGGCCUCUUCCGCGGGGCAAAGCCCGCACAGCCCUUGCCGGCGCAGGCUGCCGGGAGCUGGCACGAUCCCCGCGAGUCCUGGAGGAAGUCACGGCGGGCAGGACGCGGCUGACUGCCCUUCCAGACGGGCGGUCGAGGCACCGUGGGAGCGGGAAGGGAGGGGACGGAGGCUGCGUGUCUCGGGCCGCCGGGCUGUCCUCCCGCUCCUGCUGCUGCGCAUGCGCGGAGUCGGGAACGUUCCCAGGGCGGGGGCUGGGCCCAGGCAGGGGACAGGGAAAGGGGUUUCCAGCUCAUUGAUCGCACAUCCUUGACGCAGAGGAAGGGGAAGCAAAGCAUAUUAACACCCUGAGCUAAAAAUGGAGAAAUUAAAAAAAAAAAAAAAAAGCAUUAUAAAGGUUAUUUCCUUCCUUGUUUUUCACACGAGCCGCCACUGAGAACACAACAAGCCUUCGGUCUCCUCCGUACCUGGGGACACGAGUGACACGAAUGCGCGAACCCCCCCGGAUAAGCCCCAAAGCUCAUUCUUACCCGGGAGCCUCGGCCUCCUCUCUCCUCUCCACCCGUCGUCUGUCCCGGCUCCCGGCGAGGAGAAGGGUAAACUGAGGAAACGACACUGCGGCCCAGGCUCGUCCUCGCACAGAGGCGUGAGGACGGCGGCGGUCCCGAGGGUCACGCAGAAGGGGGGACCGUGCGCGACACGUUGCGGCAAGCGGGUUCUUCCGACAGAGAGAAAAAGUCCUCAAAAAUGCCGGGGCGGGACAGGAAAUCCGACCCAGCCCGGCUCCUCGACGGACGGUGAAGCGGAAGCGCCGAGGCGCCAGGGCCAUCCGGGUAGUUAGCAGCGAGGCCAGGCCGGAAGCUGGCGCACGUCACUUCCGGUCCGCGCCUGUCUGCGCCACACCCACUUCCGGCGUGGGUCUGAGACGCGCCGUCGCGCUCAGCCCGCGUCCCCCGGGGCCCUGCGAGGCGCCGGGCGCUGUGACGAGGCCUCCGGGCGCAUCCAGGGCCCACGAGCGCCCGUGUUCCCGCCUUGCGGGUGAGGACAGCGCGGCUCGGAGACGCUUAGUAGGUCAGCAAACUGCCCUUUCGUAGGGUUCCGCCUAAAAACAGGCCCCAGGUCGCACAGCAAGUUGGAUCAGGCUUAGACUUCAAACUCAGACGUCAGGACUCGGAUUUCAGUGCGAUUUCUGCUGCCCCCCGUUAAGCUGUAGACCCUUUUGCAGUAUUUUCUCUCAUUAAAUGGUUUUUUCAUGGUG